ACCAAUUGCAUUUACUAACGCGGAUUUUCGAAGUUUCUAGGCGGAAACUAUGCGGAGCGCAUAGAAAACUUAUAAUCGGUGAAUGUAGUCGUCCUUCCAGCUGCGAACUCGGAAAUUUAGAAAAAGUAGCGUGUUACGUUAUGCGUCAUAUGCAUUUGUUAUCUCAAAUCCACUCACACGAUCAACUUCAUCGAGUGUUCUCAAAUUCCGAUUUCAAUCAUUUAGAUUCGGUUAUAGUUGUAUAGACAUUUCAGUAUCUAGUAAUUAUAUGAUACUUUAAUGAUAUUUCAAACAUUUAUAUUUUUUUUGUGCAUUUAAGGUAAAAGAAAAAAUGAGAAAAAGAUGCAAAAAGAAAAAUAAAAAAUAUUUUUAAGAAGACAAAAUGUGAAAAGUGGCGAGGAUUUUAAAUUGGCACAUAGGAUGGAACAUAGGAUUUACUAGAGUGACAAUAGAUAAAAUAUGGUGGUAUAAUACCUAGACAUAGAGUGAAAAGAAUUGAUUUCCAAUUUCGGCAACGUAAAAUUGAAUUCCGCAUUCUAUUAUAUUUCAAACGCAAACCAAUAUUUGUUGCAUUUAACAAUCAAUUCAAAUAAUACAGUUUUGCGAAUAACAAUACGGCUUCCGACUGUGCAUUGGCUGUUACACUAGCGCGAAGCUAUUCAAUUUAUCUAUAGAAAAGAUAUCAUGUCCAACAUGGUGAUCAAGAAAUUAAAAUCGAAGAGGAAAUUGAGGUAAAAAUCUUUUUCAACGUUCAAAUAUUACUCCAUUGUUUACUACAUGAUCUUCUACACAAUUGCAUUACUAUUACUAAAGGCAGAUAAUAAGUGAUGGAAGAAUAGUUUGAUUAAAUAAAGGCUUAUUCAAUUUACUCUAUAAUCAUAGAGAGUUCCAAGUUCUGCUUUGCUUAACAAUGCUACAAUAUUGCAGAAGCGUCGUUGCAAUUAUCCGAAAAGUGGGGAAACACUCUUUGGUAUUGUUCCAAGCGUCUUCGUUAGCAAUAACAAACUGGUUGUAUUCCGUUUCGACAGAACUAUUUGUCAAACGCAAACUGAAAACAUCGUA